rnacentral:lncRNA from 12 species
CGCCCAUGGCUAGAGAUGCAGUGAUAAAUGUUUUUAAUAAUUAACAGUGGCAGGGGCUUUGUACCUCUGUCUCAUGGAUAUCUCACCUCUCAGACAGCAGAAAUAAAAGCCUGUUGUUACAGGAAGAGUAAUGAUGCUGGUGGAAGGUUCCUGCAGCUGCAGCAUCAGUGCAGAUCUCCUACAACUGGAGUUGUUUGCAAGCAGGAUUGUGUCCUGGGCCCUGUUUGGAGCUCAGGGCAGCUGGAGAAGCAGCUGUGCUUGCAGAGUUGCUAAGGUGUUUGCAAUGGCACAUGAGCCACCACUGCUGCUCUUUUGCCCAAACCCUGUUGGGCCAGGCACUGCACUGGUGCAGAGCAAAAGCUGUCCCUGCCCUGAAGAGAUCCCAGACUCACAAGGGAGGGAAAACUUAUCUGGAAUUCAGCACUUCUGGAGGUCUCUGAUGAAGACACAGCACUCAAUAAUUCUAUACUGA